ACACCCAGUGCUCAUCCCAUCCAUGGACCUUGAGACCAACAAGUGGAUUAAUCCAAAUGUCUACAUACACAAAGAGUAUCCGUUCAAUGCCCCCCUCCUGAGCGCAAGGCAGGACCCUCACGAGCAGCCGACUCAGAAUGGAUGAGCAAGCUCCUGACAGACCUGUCUCCCCAGAGAUCACAGCUGUAAUCUCUACACAAAAUACAAAAAUGAAGUGGUGAAAGCUCUGGAGAGUGGAGCAAAAAAGGCAGAUUCUGGAGAAGAGUCAACAUUUGGAAGAAGGGACCAUCAAAAGGAAAGCUGAUGUUUCCCUGUGAUCGAUUUAAAGAUAUUUUGUUGGUCUUGCACCCGGCUGUUUUCCCAAGAUUGCUCAAGGAAAUGAUGAAUUACAAUGGACAACAAUGACAACAUUCGUAACAAUGACAUUGACUGAGUGCUUCCUGGAUAUAGGGGGUUUUCAGCAUGUAGUGCUCACAGCUACUCUACGCAAGAGACAUUGGUUUCCUCCAUUUUACACACGAAAAUACCAAGACACAACAAGUCCUUCCCAUUCAAAGGUCAGCAAAACAGGACAAAGACGUGUCGGCAGGCCUUUUUUAAGACAGGAAGAGGAGGAAAGAAGAAAAGACAGGAAAUGAAGGAGUAGAAAUGAGAGUGGCAUCACCUCCAGUAAUAUGUACACCGUCUGCUUCAGGAUGAAACAAAAUACUUAAUCAUUACUGAUCACAAAGAUAAGACGUCUCGGUUUAGGAUCCGCAAGGAGAAGUUUCUAUCAGAACUAUGUAAACACAAUGCCUUCGACCUAUUGCUUCGAAUCACCUUCUAAGAACCACAGCUCCAUAAGAAUCUGCAGAAGGUCACCUUGGCCUGUCUUUUUGCUUGAACAAUGACUCGAUUAUCUAAAAACAUGGCACAACUCUAGGUACACUGGUGUCCAGAUCCACUUUCACUUCAUUGAGCUCCUGGACAUGACUUGAAGAAAGAACUGAAAUCUGAGGGUGGAGGGAAGAAUUAUUUAUCCCCCGUGGACUGAACGAACCAGUGGCCCCUUUCCGCUCACCAAGCAGUGGAUAGGAUGUCAUCUUCUUUAUCACACCCACAAAAGGGGAAAGUCCCACAGCAGGGCUGCAGCCAUGGUUUCCAAAGGGUGUUGAACACUGAGAACUGCUGUGGGACAGGUGUGAGUGUCCUGCGAUGCUCUUUUAUGGCCGCCUCGAUUUUCUUGACCACUGAGUCAAAUAAUGCUUCAUUGUCAGGGUUUAGGGGUCGGGUCUCAGAAGGGUCUCUUGAGACGUCAAAGAGCAGCGGAGGGUCGUGGUAGGUGACAUCUCCAGAACACGGACAUAUUCCGCUUCCAUAGCAGGCGCCAGCUCCAUCGGGGGAGAAUUUGGGAGUCACGUAAUGGGCCUUCCACACGGUUGCACCUAGAAAACAGAGCUCGAUUACAGUGCCAUAUUUCGUAUCAUUUUAGGACUCUUUCCAUUGAAAAUACAUUUCUUAAAUGCUUUUGCCAACAACUGAUAAUCUAGUGCACAGAAUUACAUGGCAACUGUAGCGUUUCCUCAACCAUAGGCACAACUCCCAAUUUUGCUGCAAAUUUCAAGACUUUUCUUUUGACUUUAUCAUGAGGGCAUUCGGAGAUAAUAGCUACCACUUGGAUGGCUGCUAUAAUCCUUGAAAUUCUGACUCCAAUCACUAUUUCAACCUGACGUGGCAUAGGCAAAAUGGAAAAUUUUCUUUUUUUCUUUUCUUUUUUUUUUAAUGGAAAAUUUUCUAAGACUAAAUACCUCUUUCCAGUCUGAAAUGGACAAAGCUCCUUUGGCAAAGUCCAUCAUUCCUCAUUCUUUUCUACCUCCUUCUGGCCCUCUUUCUCUCUUUUUUCCUUCCUUGUUUCCUUUUUUUCUUCCCGUAUAAAUGGUUAGUGGUUCUCUUCCCAGAGAUCAAUUUUAACUGGAAAACAUUGUAAGUGUUCUCCAGCCUGUGGUCAAUGAGGCUUUUUCAGAAGGCUGUGGGUGGGGUUUUGCAGAAACACUAGGCUUUUCUAAUAAAAUUAGGCUAAAUCACAUGACUCGGUCCUUCACACCCUUUGCUCUUCCCUCUCCUUCCUGCAUGGGGUGCAGAGGUGAUGGUUGGAGAAACAGCAGCCACUUUGCAACCACAGCAUUAGAAGGAGCAUGAGAAUGAAAACCAGCGUGCCAGAGAGGGCCGAGUGGAGAUAGUAGAGAAAGAACCCAGAUCCCGGUCAUGGCGUUGAGCACUGUCCCAGCUCAGUGUUUCCAACUUCUGAAAACCUUAUUAUGAAAAUAUAAGUAGAAUUCUAUUUGUUUAACCCUCGGUAGUUAAAUCUGGGAAGAUUUGGUUGUUGAGGGGAGCUAUUUUCUUGUUUCCUUACCAUUGAACAUCCCCCUAACUGAUACAGA